CAGGCCUAACACAUGCAAGUCGGACGGUAGCACAGAGAGCUUGCUCUCGGGUGACGAGUGGCGGACGGGUGAGUGAUGUCUGGGAAACUGCCCGAUGGAGGGGGAUAACUACUGGAAACGGUAGCUAAUACCGCAUAACGUCGCAAGACCAAAGAGGGGGACCUUCGGGCCUCUUGCCAUCAGAUGUGCCCAGAUGGGAUUAGCUAGUAGGUGGGGUAACGGCUCACCUAGGCGACGAUCCCUAGCUGGUCUGAGAGGAUGACCAGCCACACUGGAACUGAGACACGGUCCAGACUCCUACGGGAGGCAGCAGUGGGGAAUAUUGCACAAUGGGCGCAAGCCUGAUGCAGCCAUGCCGCGUGUAUGAAGAAGGCCUUCGGGUUGUAAAGUACUUUCAGCGGGGAGGAAGGCGAUAAGGUUAAUAACCUUGUCGAUUGACGUUACCCGCANAAAAAGCACCGGCUAACUCCGUGCCAGCAGCCGCGGUAAU
rnacentral:rRNA from 1 species